rnacentral:rRNA from 1 species
AGCAGCCGCGGUAAUUCCAGCUCCAAUAGCGUAUAUUAAAGUUGUUGCAGUUAAAAAGCUCGUAGUUGAAUUUCGGGAUUGACACAUCGGUCGUGCCUUAAGGGGUAUGAACUGGUGUAGUCAGUUUCUCACCUUCUGGAGAACCGCGAUGUCCUUAAUUGGGUGCCGCGAGGAACCAGGACCUUUACUUUGAAAAAAUUAGAGUGUUUAAAGCAGGCAUUUUGCUUGAAUACAUUAGCAUGGAAUAAUAAAAUAGGACGGAUGGUUCUAUUUUGUUGGUUUCUAGGAUCACCGUAAUGAUUAAUAGGGAUAGUUGGGGGCAUUAGUAUUCAAUUGUCAGAGGUGAAAUUCUUGGAUUUAUUGAAGACUAACUACUGCGAAAGCAUUUGCCAAGGAUGUUUUCAUUAAUCAAGAACGAAAGUUAGGGGAUCGAAGACGAUCAGAUACCGUCGUAGUCUUAACCAUAAACUAUGCCGACUAGGAAUCAGACGAUGUUAAUUUUUAAUGACUCGUUUGGCAC